rnacentral:rRNA from 1 species
UGGGGAAUCUUGGACAAUGGGGGCAACCCUGAUCCAGCCAUGCCGCGUGAGUGAUGAAGGCCCUAGGGUCGUAAAGCUCUUUCGCCUGUGAAGAUAAUGACGGUAGCAGGUAAAGAAACCCCGGCUAACUCCGUGCCAGCAGCCGCGGUAAUACGGAGGGGGUUAGCGUUGUUCGGAAUUACUGGGCGUAAAGCGCACGUAGGCGGAUCAGAAAGUUGGGGGUGAAAUCCCGGGGCUCAACCCCGGAACUGCCUUCAAAACUCCUGGUCUAGAGUUCGAGAGAGGUGAGUGGAAUUCCGAGUGUAGAGGUGAAAUUCGUAGAUAUUCGGAGGAACACCAGUGGCGAAGGCGGCUCACUGGCUCGAUACUGACGCUGAGGUGCGAAAGUGUGGGGAGCAAACAGGAUUAGAUACCCCCGUAGUCC